rnacentral:rRNA from 1 species
CGGGUGAGUAACACGUGGAUAGCCUACCUAUAAGACUGGGAUAACUUCGGGAAACCGGAGCUAAUACCGGAUAAUAUAUUGAACCGCAUGGUUCAAUAGUGAAAGACGGUUUUGCUGUCACUUAUAGAUGGAUCCGCGCCGCAUUAGCUAGUUGGUAAGGUAACGGCUUACCAAGGCAACGAUGCGUAGCCGACCUGAGAGGGUGAUCGGCCACACUGGAACUGAGACACGGUCCAG